rnacentral:rRNA from 1 species
GAUGAACGCUGGCGGCGUGCCUAAUACAUGCAAGUCGAGCGAACAGACGAGGAGCUUGCUCCUCUGACGUUAGCGGCGGACGGGUGAGUAACACGUGGAUAACCUACCUAUAAGACUGGGAUAACUUCGGGAAGCCGGAGCUAAUACCGGAUAAUAUAUUGAACCGCAUGGUUCAAUAGUGAAAGACGGCUUUGCUGUCACUUAUAGAUGGAUCCGCGCCGCAUUAGCUAGUUGGUAAGGUAACGGCUUACCAAGGCAACGAUGCGUAGCCGACCUAAGAGGGUGAUCGGCCACACUGGAACUGAGACACGGUCCAGACUCCUACGGGAGGCAGCAGUAGGGAAUCUUCCGCAAUGGGCGAAAGCCUGACGGAGCAACGCCGCGUGAGUGAUGAAGGUCUUCGGAUCGUAAAACUCUGUUAUUAGGGAAGAACAAAUGUGUAAGUAACUAUGCACGUCUUGACGGUACCUAAUCAGAAAGCCACGGCUAACUACGUG